rnacentral:rRNA from 1 species
GAUGAACGCUGGCGGCGUGCCUAAUACAUGCAAGUCGAGCGAACAGACGAGGAGCUUGCUCCUCUGACGUUAGCGGCGGACGGGUGAGUAACACGUGGAUAACCUACCUAUAAGACUGGGAUAACUUCGGGAAACCGGAGCUAAUACCGGAUAACAUGUUGAACCGCAUGGUUCAACAGUGAAAGACGGUCUUGCUGUCACUUAUAGAUGGAUCCGCGCCGCAUUAGCUAGUUGGUAAGGUAACGGCUUACCAAGGCAACGAUGCGUAGCCGACCUGAGAGGGUGAUCGGCCACACUGGAACUGAGACACGGUCCAGACUCCUACGGGAGGCAGCAGUAGGGAAUCUUCCGCAAUGGGCGAAAGCCUGACGGAGCAACGCCGCGUGAGUGAAGAAGGUCUUCGGAUCGUAAAACUCUGUUAUUAGGGAAGAACAAAUGUGUAAGUAACUAUGCACGUCUUGACGGUACCUAAUCAGAAAGCCACGGUUAACUACGUG